AAACCCUAACAACACUCCUCUUUUCUGAGAUUUUCUAACUCAGUCGUUACCCAUGUUUUCUCUCUUAUCCUCUUGCUUAAAAAUUUCCUCUCUCUCUCUGCCUUUCACAGAUCUAAUUAUAGUUGGCUCUAAGUUCUUCCCGCAGACCAAAUUCUCUAAUCAAAUUCAAUUAAAAUAAACAUCCAAUAUUUUCAGAGUUAAUUUUAGAUUCAAAGAUGGAGAAGUUGAUGAACACUCACCAAUAAGAAACCCCAACGUAACUGCGCAUAAGGGUGCAAAUCUUUCAUAAUAGCAGCGACAAUAAAUAUGGUUCGAGUUUACCACCAUCUCACGGAGGACCAAUUCGUCACCAUUCAAGCAUGUAUUGAAGCAUGAAUCAGAAAAUGAUAAAUUGAAACAAAAGUCCAAUGAAGCAAUUCAUGUAAUCGAAACAGGAACACUUAAUUUAUAAGGAUUUGAAGUUGAGUUGGUAUCAUUUUGGAGCUAUGGACAAUGGAAUAAUGGACUGGGAAUGAAUAAAUCUAUUAAUUUAUACUACUACUUGAAUUAGUUUUUGUAUGUUGAUUUUUUGGUUUAUGAUAUUCAAAUCUGUGAAUUGUAUUAUACUUUGUGUGAGUAUAUGAUGAUUGAUUUGGUUUUAAGUCAUCAAUUUGGGAGUGGAUUUGCUACCUUGCUAAAUUAUAUAAAGACAAGGCUUGGUGGGACAUCUUUUGGAGCUUGCUAUGGGGCGUAUGGCUGAAGAGAAAUGCUGCCACUUUCGAACAUCGCAAAAUUUUGAUUGAAGAUGUGAUUAUCAGAGUUGAUGGGAUCGCUAGUGAGUAUGAGAAAGAAAAUGAGGUCCUCCCUUAUGAGAUUAUACGGAAUCAGGAAAUCAAUCAUGUGUGGUCUCCUCCUACGGUGGGAACUUAACUACGACGCUGCCUGCUUUAAAGAUAGUUCAAUCGACAUUGGGGGUGUCAAGAGGGACCAUAUUGGUGAUGUAAUGGCUGCUACAUGCUGCAAUAUGCUGGGAAGUUUCAGAUCGAUGUCGCAGAGGCUUUGGCUGUCAGGCACACUCUCCUUAUUGCGUUAUAGGCUGGGCUCAACAAUGUGGUCUUGGAGGUGGACAAUAUCAAACUGUUCAACUACUUAUCAAAAGGCACCAGUGACUUUUCUAGAUUUGGUUUGAUUAUAAAAGACAUUUUUAUCUUGCUUCUCUUUGUAUGUCAAUGGGGUGGCCCAUGUUUUGGCCAAGUGCAGUAGGAACUAUGUUGAAAUGAUGGUAUGGAUUAAGGAAACUCCUCCAUGCGCCAUUGCUGCUGUAACCCAUGAUUUAUCUUUCCUUAAUUAAUUUAAGUUCUUGCUUCCCGUAAAAAAAAAA